UACGUAGGGGGCAAGCGUUGCCCGGAGUUACUGGGCGUAAAGCGCACGCAGGCGGUCUGCUAAGUUUGGAGUGACAGUUGGUGGCUUAACUGCCAAAGUGCUUCGAAAACUGACAGACUUGAGGGCUUCAGAGGGACACGGAAUUCCGGGUGGAGUGGUGAAAUGCGUAGAGAUCCGGAGGAACACCAAAGGCGAAGGCAGUGUCCUGGGGAGUACCUGACGCUCAGGUGCGAAAGCCAGGGGAGCGAACGGG
rnacentral:rRNA from 1 species